rnacentral:lncRNA from 1 species
UGGAUGCUGCUAAUGCUUCAGACAGCUGCUGGACUUUGUCAAGUUGUGUUGUAAAGAAUCCAGUUGCAGGAUUUCUUGGUUUGUUUAUGCUUUAUUACUGUGUUAUUUAUCUUUAAUAUACUUUUAAUAUUUGCUACACUUCAAUUUCAUUCUUGCAGAUGGGAGAUUGAACGGGCCAGGAGCUACAUUAUGUAACAGCCCAAACCACAGAGCAAAAGAUGCUAAAUAUCACUGCAUGACUAAUGAAGAAUAUCUCAAUCACCUUAAUGAUAUACUGAUGGAUGUCUGUGGGGUAAAUAACAUCGAGUUUUGAAUUUUCAAGGGUUUGGCAGUGAAGGAAAUGGCAUUAUACAGCCAAGGGACGUGAGGAAGUUCUUGUUCCCAUUUGGCAUUCCAAUCGCCCUGGAAGGAUUGAAGCAGCUUUGGGCAAGCUUAGGAAUCAGCAUUCAUGACAGCAAGCUCUCUUAUUUUGAUUUCCUGAGAGCAAUUGAGGAUGGCAGAGCAUCUGAAUACCAGCAGAAACAAAAGCAGGCUGCACCACCUGCAAGCUUUGCAGAGCUCAGCUUAGAACAAACCCUAAUAAAGAUAAAGGAAACAGUUACGUCAUCUUAGGAUUUGUUGUAUAAGGUAAGUUUCAUCUUAUUUAAUGUCUAUUUUUUUUCUGCCUGGCUGGGUACUAUGCCAAAGGCUUCAAAACUUUACUGCUAUUGGGUGCUACCAGCAACCUUGGCCUGUGUAGAAAUACCAUCUUCUGGCAACUGUAGGCUUCUUAAUUGAUUGUAUUCUGGAAAUUCCA